rnacentral:rRNA from 1 species
UACGGAAGGGGCAAGCGUUGUUCGGAAUCAUUGGGCGUAAAGGGCGCGUAGGUGGUUCUGUAUGUCUAUCGUGAAAGCGUACGGCUCAACCGUAUUUUGUCGGUAGAAACUGCAGGACUUGAGGCUGGGAGGGGCUGGUGGAAUUCCCUGUGUGGCGGUGAAAUGCGUAGAGAUGGGGGAGAACACUCGUGGCGAAGGCGGCCAGCUAGACCAGUUCUGACACUGAGGCGCGACAGCGUGGGGAGCAAACAGG